AUACGUAGGGUGCGAGCGUUAAUCGGAAUUACUGGGCGUAAAGCGUGCGCAGGCGGUUUUGUAAGACAGUGGUGAAAUCCCCGGGCUCAACCUGGGAACUGCCAUUGUGACUGCAAGGCUGGAGUGCGGCAGAGGGGGAUGGAAUUCCGCGGGUAGCAGUGAAAUGCGUAGAUAUGCGGAGGAACACCGAUGGCGAAGGCAAUCCCCUGGGCCUGCACUGACGCUCAUGCACGAAAGCGUGGGGAGCAAACAGGAUUAGAUACCCUGGUAGUCCACGCCCUAAACGAUGUCAACUGGUUGUUGGGAAUUUAUUUUCUCAGUAACGAAGCUAACGCGUGAAGUUGACCGCCUGGGGAGUACGGCCGCAAGGUUAAAACUUAAAGGAAUUGACGGGG
rnacentral:rRNA from 1 species